GACGAACGCUGGCGGCGUGCUUAACACAUGCAAGUCGAACGAAGAGCGAUGGAAGCUUGCUUCUAUCAAUCUUAGUGGCGAACGGGUGAGUAACGCGUAAUCAACCUGCCCUUCAGAGGGGGACAACAGUUGGAAACGACUGCUAAUACCGCAUACGAUCUAAUCUCGGCAUCGAGGAUAGAUGAAAGGUGGCCUCUACAUGUAAGCUAUCACUGAAGGAGGGGAUUGCGUCUGAUUAGCUAGUUGGAGGGGUAACGGCCCACCAAGGCGAUGAUCGGUAGCCGGUCUGAGAGGAUGAACGGCCACAUUGGGACUGAGACAAGGCCCAGACUCCUACGGGAGGCAGCAGUGGGGAAUCUUCCGCAAUGGACGAAAGUCUGACGGAGCAACGCCGCGGGAGUGAAGACGGCCUUCGGGUUGUAAAGCUCUGUUAAUCGGGACGAAAGGCCUUCUUGCGAAUAGUGAGAAGGAUUGACGGUACCGGAAUAGAAAGCCACGGCUAACUACGUG
rnacentral:rRNA from 1 species